rnacentral:rRNA from 1 species
UACAGAGGUCUCAAGCGUUGUUCGGAUUCAUUGGGCGUAAAGGGUGCGUAGGUGGCGCGGUAAGUCGGGUGUGAAAUCUCGGAGCUUAACUCCGAAAUUGCAUUCGAUACUGCUGUGCUCGAGUGUGGAAGGGGCAAUCGGAAUUCUUGGUGUAGCGGUGAAAUGCGUAGAUAUCAAGAGGAACACCUGAGGUGAAGACGGGUUGCUGGGCCAACACUGACGCUGAGGCGCGAAAGCCAGGGGAGCAAACGGG